UCCAGCUAUAGGCAAAUGGCUAGGUUUCCUUGUACCUAGGCAAGUGUUACAUUGCUGGGAGAAGAGCAGCAGCUAAUAGCUCUGGGCAGU
rnacentral:snoRNA from 1 species